rnacentral:rRNA from 1 species
GGAUUAAGAGCUUGCUCUUAUGAAGUUAGCGGCGGACGGGUGAGUAACACGUGGGUAACCUGCCCAUAAGACUGGGAUAACUCCGGGAAACCGGGGCUAAUACCGGAUAACAUUUUGAACCGCAUGGUUCGAAAUUGAAAGGCGGCUUCGGCUGUCACUUAUGGAUGGACCCGCGUCGCAUUAGCUAGUUGGUGAGGUAACGGCUCACCAAGGCAACGAUGCGUAGCCGACCUGAGAGGGUGAUCGGCCACACUGGGACUGAGACACGGCCCAGACUCCUACGGGAGGCAGCAGUAGGGAAUCUUCCGCAAUGGACGAAAGUCUGACGGAGCAACGCCGCGUGAGUGAUGAAGGCUUUCGGGUCGUAAAACUCUGUUGUUAGGGAAGAACAAGUGCUAGUUGAAUAAGCUGGCACCUUGACGGUACCUAACCAGAAAGCCACGGCUAACUACGUG